GAGUUAAACGUUUAACUCCGCCCGCAUAGCGCAGUUGAACCGUUGAAGAAGAAGAAGUUUCCAAAAUGGAGAGAAUAGAGCACGUGUUUGCUGCAAACAGCCACGUCAUUGCCACAUGGUUUCCACCAUCAUCCACAAACCCCAUGGAUCACCUGCUGGACAAUGCAGCCAGUCUCCAGUGGGUUCUGCUUCCAGUAUUUGUACCUGGACACUGGAUACUCUGUAAAUACAUUUAUAUCUUCCUCUAUUAUGACCUUACACAACAAAGUUGCUCAUUGCUGAUUUAAAUUUUUUGGUAUAUUAAAUGCAUGGCAGCUUUGUUAGUAUUUCUGUAACAUUCCAUAACUUUAUGUGUGUGGUUAUAUUUGAACACAUUUAACAGAUACUGAGGCCACAGGCUAGAGAGAUUUUCUUUCUAGAUCCCCUCUGUGGCAGCGGCUGGAGAGAUGAGAGUAGAGUCCAUCGAGUCAGGUUUUUAGGACACCUUCCAAGAUCCUUCCUGGACAGUGGUAGUUCUGUUUUAAACCACUUGUCCUUUGUUUGUUUAAUAAAUGCUUCUGUUUUUAUUUGAAUGCAUUAAGAUGUUCCAAACAAACAAAAACAAACAACAAAAGUGAGUGUUUGUGAGGGAUAGAAGUAAUUGUUACGUUAUUCUUAUUUAUUUUACAUUAUUCUAUGCAGAUGGAAACAGAACCAUAUGUUUUGUUUGUUUAAGUCCAUUACAAAAAACGUUUGAUUUGAAGUUCCAGCCUCUUCCAACUUUGUUCCAAGUGUUGCUUUAAAAUGGUUUAUUGUACUUUUAUUUCCUCUUUGAGCACAUUGCUCACAUCUCCUGGGCCUUGGAGGCAGCUUGGUGUGAAUGAUGUUCAGGAAAACAUGCUGCAGAUUAGAAGAUGGUGGUGUCUUGUUCUCCUGCUAUCCGAAGAAGAGAGACUGCAGCAAAGAAAAAGGCAACGAGAGCAGAAAAAACUACAGGUGAGAGGUCAUGUGAUAAAUUGGUAUAUAGUGAAACUAUUGCUCAAAGACUGAUCCCCGCCACUUAUUUCAGGAUGUGGCUGAAGUCCCCCUGAAAAUGUUUAGGCUUUCAGAAUCUGCCACUGAAGCAUCAGGUAUUGUUCCAGCCAGCAUUGUCUCACACAUAUCCAUCAAGGUUGUUGAGGUUCCAUGUCACAGAGCAGUCAUUAUUUCUCUGUGUACUUAAAAUCAACCACUUAAAUCUUGCAUUGUCAUUGUGCCUGUAUACACCACAAUCUGUUUCCUUUCUAGAUGAGGCUGAGAACAGGACUGGGAACAGGAAACGGGGAGAAUCCUUUGGUCAGGGAUGCCAUGGCGGCAGCCCGGUGGUGUGGGACCAGAGCUUUCAAGGGAAAAAUUUCCCUUCCCCAAGUUGUCCCCAUGGCCAAGGAGCAACGCGUGAGGGCAGUGGAACUCCUGUGUGUCUGUGAUGGCCAGGAAGAAGAGGAGACCGCUGAUCUCAGAGAACCGUUCCUUUUUCUUUUUAGUCUGCAGGAAGACUAUGAGACAUUCUGUCAAGAAAUCAUUGACAGGAGAAACAUGAAGGUGUUUUGUGCUUUUGACAGAAAAGAAUAAAGUUGUGUUCAACGGUG